GUUAUAUCUUUGAAGACAUCCAAUAAAAUUGAGACGAUAUACAGAAGAUUAACAUGACCCAUGUGCAAGAAUGACACACAAAUUUUUUAGUUGUUCUCGGUACAC